GCGCAGUGUGCCCAGUGUGCGCGGCCUGCCUCGACCGGUGCCAAGACCGCGGGACACGAAAGGUUCGAGCUCGGCUGGAAGGAGCCUGCUACGCAAAGGCACAACGAAAAACGAAGGAAUACUAUGCCUCACCAUUGCCGACGGAAUGCGGCACGUUGACCGUCCCGUCACACGUGGCCUUGCCUUUGGGAAAGGGUCGUUUGCAGCAAUAAUCACCUUGCAGUCUGAAGUGAA
rnacentral:lncRNA from 1 species